rnacentral:rRNA from 1 species
UACGUAGGGGGCAAGCGUUGUCCGGAAUCAUUGGGCGUAAAGCGCGUGUAGGCGGUCCGGUAAGUCGGCUGUGAAAGUCCAGGGCUCAACCCUGGGAUGCCGGUCGAUACUGCCGGACUAGAGUUCGGUAGGGGAGACUGGAAUUCCUGGUGUAGCGGUGAAAUGCGCAGAUAUCAGGAGGAACACCGGUGGCGAAGGCGGGUCUCUGGGCAACAACUGACGCUGAGGAGCGAAAGCGUGGGGAGCGAACAGG